GCGGCGGUGCGGGGACCGGCCCGGGGGGCGCCGAGGGGCGGCGAGGCGGUGGCUCCAUGUGAGAGGAGGCGGCGGCGCACCUGAUCCGCCGCCGGGACAGCCGCAGCCGGGGGGAUUCCUCGAGGGCCACCGGUCCGCAGCCCGCCCGGGGCGGGGGGGGGCUGGACCCGCCUGCCCCUUUGAAGUCACCCGGCCCCCGGCGGCAGCCCCGGGGCGGGGGGGGCAGCGGACCCCCUCCCGCCGGGGGAGGGGGGCUCCGCCUCGCCGCCCGCAUCGCCCCGCCGGCGGGAAGGCGCGCGCGCCGCGAGCGGAGGGAGAGCCCAGCGGAGCCCGUCCCGAAAAAAUGUGAAAGCAUUUGCAUCUUCAGAUAGCCUAGCCAAGGUCCAAGAAGUAGCAAGCUGGCUUUUGGAAAUGAAUCAGGAACUGCUCUCUGUGGGCAGCAAGAGGCGACGAACUGGUGGAUCUCUUCGAGGUAAUGCUUCCUCAAGCCAAGUAGAUGAGGAGCAGAUGAAUCGCGUCGUAGAAGAGGAGGAGCAGCAGCAAAGACGACAACAAGAGGAGCAGCACAUUGGGAGGAAUGGGGAGAUAGGAGGAGAAGAACCUGGAUUUGAUGACAGGCAUGAGUCUCAGCAGGAGCAGUUAGAAGAAAAUAAUAAUAGACUUAUUACAGUGGAUGAAGAUUCCACUUGUAACCAAGAGGAAGAUGACGAUGAACAUGCUGGUGAUCAAGAGGAGGAGGUGGAAGAGGAGGAGGAAAUGGACCAGGACAGUGAUGAUUUUGAUCAGUCUGAUGACAGCAGUAGAGAAGAUGAACAUGCUAACAGUAAUAGCGUCACAAAUUCCAAUAGCCUCAUGGACUUGCCCAUUCACCAGUCAUCGCCAUUCUACAUGAAGACAAAGAUGAAGAGAAAGUUGGACCAUGGCUCCGAGGUCCGUUCUUUCUCUCUGGGAAAGAAACCCUGCAAAGUCUCAGAGUACACAAGUACCACGGGGCUGGUGCCAUGUUCUGCCACGCCGACGACGUUUGGGGACCUGCGGGCAGCCAACGGCCAGGGACAGCAGCGGCGCCGCAUCACAUCCGUGCAGCCCCCCUCCGGCCUCCAGGAAUGGCUGAAAAUGUUUCAGAGCUGGAGCGGACCAGAGAAGUUACUUGCUUUAGAUGAACUCAUUGAUAGUUGUGAACCAACACAAGUAAAACACAUGAUGCAAGUGAUAGAGCCCCAGUUUCAAAGAGACUUCAUUUCCUUGCUCCCAAAAGAGCUGGCACUGUAUGUGCUGUCAUUCCUGGAACCCAGGGACCUUCUACAGGCAGCCCAGACUUGUCGUUACUGGAGAAUUCUGGCUGAAGAUAAUCUUCUCUGGAGAGAGAAAUGCAAAGAGGAGGGGAUUGAUGAACCAUUGCAUAUCAAGAGGAGGAAAGUAAUAAAACCAGGCUUUAUACACAGUCCGUGGAAAAGCGCCUACAUCAGACAGCACAGGAUUGAUACCAACUGGCGGCGAGGAGAGCUGAAAUCGCCCAAGGUGCUGAAGGGCCACGAUGACCACGUGAUCACGUGCCUGCAGUUCUGCGGGAACCGCAUCGUGAGCGGCUCCGACGACAACACGCUCAAAGUGUGGUCAGCAGUGACAGGCAAGUGUUUGAGAACACUGGUUGGACACACAGGCGGAGUGUGGUCAUCACAGAUGAGGGAUAAUAUCAUCAUCAGCGGCUCUACAGACAGAACGUUGAAAGUCUGGAACGCCGAGACCGGGGAGUGCAUCCACACCUUGUACGGACACACCUCCACCGUGCGCUGCAUGCACCUCCACGAGAAAAGGGUGGUCAGUGGCUCUCGAGACGCGACGCUGCGGGUGUGGGACAUAGAGACGGGCCAGUGUUUACAUGUCCUGAUGGGCCACGUCGCUGCAGUUCGGUGCGUUCAAUAUGAUGGCAGAAGGGUUGUAAGUGGUGCAUAUGAUUUUAUGGUCAAAGUGUGGGAUCCAGAGACAGAGACCUGUCUGCACACACUGCAAGGGCAUACUAACAGAGUCUACUCGUUACAGAUUUACCUUUCUUGUAGUUUGAUGGUAUCCAUGUGGUGAGUGGAUCUCUUGACACUUCCAUCCGAGUUUGGGAUGUGGAGACAGGCAACUGCAUUCACACUCUGACAGGCCACCAGUCACUCACAAGUGGAAUGGAACUCAAGGACAAUAUACUUGUGUCUGGGAAUGCUGAUUCUACAGUCAAAAUCUGGGACAUUAAAACAGGACAAUGUUUACAGACAUUGCAAGGUCCCAACAAGCAUCAGAGUGCUGUGACCUGUUUACAGUUCAACAAGAACUUUGUAAUUACCAGCUCAGAUGAUGGGACUGUAAAACUUUGGGACUUGAAAACGGGUGAAUUUAUCCGAAAUCUAGUCACAUUGGAGAGCGGGGGAAGUGGAGGCGUCGUGUGGCGAAUCAGAGCUUCUAACACAAAGCUGGUGUGCGCGGUCGGGAGCCGCAACGGGACUGAGGAAACAAAGCUGCUGGUGUUGGACUUUGACGUCGAUAUGAAGUGAAGGGCAGAAAGAUGAAUUUGUCCAAACGUGUAGACGAUGUUCUCCUUUCCCUCCCCCCUGAAAAAAAAAGAAAAAAGAAAAAAAAGAAAAAGGAAAAAAAUCCCUUGUCCUUGGUGGUGCAGGAUGUUGCCUUGGGGCAACAGAUCCUAAAGACCUACAGACUACGAAGGAGAAGACAAAGAUGACAAACUAUAACUGACAAGAGAGGCUUUUGCUGUCUCGUCACAUAAAAAGGCUACACUUUUGACCGGGGCAGCUUUGCAAAAAUCCAACUUUAGAAAUGAAACCAGGUGCAAUUAAUUUCUUUACUUUCCUCCAAAUGCUUCUUGAGUAAUUUGGAGUGAAAAAAAAAAUGUUACAGUUCUUGUUAACAGGUUAUUUUACCACAAAGAUCUUGAAAUAAGCUGCACAGGCGAGCCUGCUGGUGCAGCCCUGGGUCAGCCUGGGUCCCAGCAGCCCCUCCGAGCAACGCGCUGUCCCCAGCCCCGCUCCGAGCCGGGGGUUGGACCGGACUCCCUCCAAGGUCCCUUCCAACCUCCACGAGCAGUCACUGGUUGACUUUCAAAAACUAGAGAGCAUCUGCAAUGAGAAAAACAAACAAAAACAAAGAGUCCAUUCCUGGUGUGGAAAAGCUAAAAUAUUACUGUGAAUUGUUUUGUACAGUUUUAUCAGAGCUUUUUCUUUUUUUUCUUUAUUCCUCUUUUUUUUUUUUUGCCAACCAUUGCCAAUGUCAAUCACAGUAUUAGCCUCUGUUUAAUCUAUUUACUGUUGCUUCCAUCUACACUCUUCAAUGCAUAAGUUGCUCUGAGGUGGCAAGUUGUCCUGGAUUUUGAGAGUCCUCUGAUGGAUUUAAUUCGCAAUGCUGGUGCUAGAAGUAGGUCUUCAAUUACGGGAUUGUUGUCCCACCCCUGUACUGUAUUCCCAGUGGCCAAACUUAUUUAUGCUGCUAAAUGAAAGAAAGAAAAGCAAAUUAUUUUUUUUUAUUUUUUUUUCUGCUGUGACGUUUUAGUCCCAGACUGAAUUCCAAAUUUGCUCUAGUUUGGUUACAGAAAAAGACUUUUUGCCACUGAAACUUGAGCCAACUGUGCCUCUAAGAGGCUGAGAGUGGAAGAGUUUCAGACAAUUAAGAGUGAAGUUUGCCUGCAAAUAAAGAAUUGAGUGUGUGUGCAAAGCUUAUUUUCUUUUUUCUGGGCAAAAAUUAAAACACAUUCCUUGGAACAAAGCUAUUGCAGCCUGUUCUGUGGGGAAAUUUUUCUUUGUGAGGGCUGUGGUGAAUGGAAUGAACAUACAUUAAAAAAAAAACUGACAAAAUUUUUUAAAAAUAUUAUAAAAUACAAAAAUUAAAAUAAAGUUGCUGGUCAGUCUUAGUGUUUUACAGUAUUUGAGAAAAAACAACUGUUACAGUUAUUGCUGGGAGGAACUGACAGAGCAAAAACUUACGUUUUUGUAAAGAUGUCACAUGCAAACAAAAUGAGAAAAGAGAGAGUCAAAUGGUUUGCCUCAUUCUCCAAGAGCCACAACUCAAGCUGAACUGUGAAAGUGGUUUAACACUGUAUCCUAGGCGAUCUUUUUUCCUCCUUUUUUUUUGUUUUUGUUUUAUUUAUAGUCUGAUUUAAAACAAUCAGAUUCCAGUUGGUUAAUUUUAGUUAUGUAACAACCUGACAUGAUGGAGGAAAACAACCUUUAAAGGGAUUGUGUCUAUGGUUUGAUUCACUUAGAAAUUUUAUUUUCUUAUAACUUAAGUGCAAUAAAAUGUGUUUUUUCAUGUUA